UACGGGGGGGGCAAGCGUUGUUCGGAAUUACUGGGCGUAAAGGGCUCGUAGGUGGCCAAUUAAGUCAGACGUGAAAUCCCCAGGCUCAACUUGGGAACUGCGCCUGAUACUGGUUGGCUUGAAUUCGGGAGAGGGAUGCAGAAUUCCAGGUGUAGCGGUGAAAUGCGUAGAUAUCUGGAGGAAUACCGGUGGCGAAGGCGGCAUCCUGGACCGAGAUUGACACUGAUGAGCGAAAGCCAGGGGAGCAAACGGG
rnacentral:rRNA from 1 species